rnacentral:rRNA from 1 species
GACGAACGCUGGCGGCGUGCUUAACACAUGCAAGUCGAACGAAGAGCGAUGGAGGCUUGCUUCUCUCAAUCUUAGUGGCGAACGGGUGAGUAACGCGUAAUCAACCUUCCCUUCAGGGGGGGACAACAGUUGGAAACGACUGCUAAUACCGCAUACGCUCUAAUCUCGGCAUCGAGGGAAGAUGAAAGGUGGCCUCUAUUUAUAAGCUAUCACUGAAGGAGGGGAUUGCGUCGGAUUAGCAAGAUGGAGGGGUAACGGCCCAGCAAGGCGAUGAUCAGUAGCCGGUCGGAGAGGAUGAACGGCCACAUUGGGACGGAGACACGGCCCAGACUCCUACGGGAGGGAGCAGUGGGGAAUCGGGCGCAAUGGACGAAAGUCUGACGGAGCAACGCCGCGUGAGUGAUGACGGCCGUCGGGUUGUAAAGCUCGGUUAAUCGGGACGAAAGGCCUUCUUGCGAACAGUUAGAAGGAUUGACGGUACCGGAAUAGAAAGCCACGGCUAACUACGUG